ACUGCUGAACGUGAUAAAGAGAGUAUUCAAGAGCAUGUAACUCUUAAUCGUUUCAUCGAAAAUGUCACUAAGAGCGAAACUCACAUUUGCAGCAUCAACUGCUGUGUGUUUUGGGAUAAUUUCAUACGUUCAUAUUAUUCACAAAUUAGAGCGAGAUGAUGUGAAGGUAGGAGUUCAGAAAUAUUUGGCAAAAGAACAACAAACAAUGUCUGAAGGAGAAAAGAAACUUACAGGUGGACUGGGAGGUGCAGGACAAAAUCGGCAAUCUUGACAUAUGAUGUGUGAUAAGAUGCAGUAUCAAGCAGCUUCAUCAAGUCUUUCAGAAUGGAUGGAUGUAGUUUGUGUGACAUUGACUUUAAUUUGCAUCAUGUUUGUGUGAAAGGAGACGAGUUAUACACUACGAUUUUAGAUUACUUAUUAUUGUAUAUUGCGUAAGGAGGUUGUGAUAAUGUGCCUUUUUUAUCCUCCAACAAUUUUGUUUCUCUAAUGACUCAAUAGUCUUUUAUUUGUAAUGGUUACAUUGUUAUCAGUGAUUAUUUUUUCUGCAUACAUUGCAUUUUACGGCCUUAUACAGGCUGUAUCCACUAGCCAAAAGAUGAUAUAUUUUCCCCCUAAAGUGGGGUCAUGUUUCUCCUUGAACAGAAGAAAGUUUCAUAACUGGAGUGAAACAAUGUUAUCAUUACUAAAUUUUUGAAAUGGAAAAUUUUAUUAAAAGUAUGGUUCUGUUACAUUA